UACGAAGGGGGCUAGCGUUGCUCGGAAUCACUGGGCGUAAAGCGCACGUAGGCGGAUCUUUAAGUCAGAGGUGAAAUCCCAAGGCUCAACCUUGGAACUGCCUUUGAUACUGGGGAUCUCGAGGUCCGGAAGAGGUGAGUGGAACUGGCGAGUGUAGAGGUGAAAUUCGUAGAUAUUCGCAAGAACACCAGUGGCGAAAGGCGGUCACUGGUCCGGUACUGACGCUGAGGUGCGAAAGCGUGGGGAGCAAACAGG
rnacentral:rRNA from 1 species